AUGGGGCAAAGAAUUCUGACUCAGUCUCCAGCAUCUCUGUCAGUUUCUCCAGGAGAGACUGUUACUAUCAGCUGCAAAGCCAGUCAGUACUGUGGUAAUGAGUUUGACUGGUAUCUGCAGAAACCUGGAGAAGCUCCUAAACUCCUGAUCUAUCAUGUAUCAAACCGUCAGCCUGGGGUUCCAGACCGUUUCAGUGGAAGUGGAUCUGGAACAGAUUUCACUCUGAAGAUCACUGGAGUUCAGCCGGAAGAUGCAGGAGAUUAUUACUGUCAGCAGGAUUACGGCAAUCCAUUCACACAGUGA